CGUGCCUGCCCAGAGAUUUUUUUUAACGACCCGCAGUACCCUGACUGUGCUAAGGUAGCAUAAUCACUUGCUUUUUAAUUGAAAGCUACAAUGAAUGGCUUGACGAAAACAUUACUGUCUCUUUUACAUUAACUAAAAAUUAAUUUUUAGAUGAAAAAGUCUAAAUAACCUCAAAAGACGAAAAGACCCUAUCGAGCUUAAAAAAAACUUUAAUUCUAACCCGCUAGAUAAAGUAAGAUUAAAAUUUWAUUUUUUGUUGGGGCGACAGAAUAACACACAAAGCUUCUUUUAAUUUUAUAAACAAAUAAGUUUAAAAGAUCCACUAAUACUGACUAAAAGAAAAGUUACCGCAGGGAUAACAUCCAAUUUCUUUAGAGACCCAAWUUGAAAAACAAGUUUGCGACCUCCAUGCUGCAUUAAAAAAUCUUUUUGAWGCACCACCCCAAAAAAAAGGUCUGUUCGACCUUUAMAUUCUUACAUGAUCUGAG
rnacentral:rRNA from 1 species